CUAUGCCUUCUAUGGGACUUGUUGCUACAGUCAUUCUGCUUUGGACAUGCCAGUUACACAAACAGAGAAAGGGAUAGGUGUUGCUUCUUUUGGACUGUGUGACAGUGGUGCUGGCAGCACAGAGAGACUUGAGCUGAAGUAACUUUCUUCCUUUAGAAGAAUAAAAAUCUGAAAAUAAUAAAUAUCUGGAUUGCAUCUAGAGCAUUUCUCCUGACAGCUGAGAAGGAACAAAUUUCCAAGGGCUCAUUUUUUUUUUCAGAUGUACCCAGAUGCACCUUAGCCUGACCCUAUGGGAAAAUGCAUGCUUGACUCCAGAAGCUGACCUGGUUGGUUCAGACGCCUGGUCUGACAGCUAUGCUGCCACCACCCAGUGGGCAAGGCAACUUUCAGACUGAAACUGGUCAGAGCCAACUGCUCGCUCAUGCCUUCUCUUCCACCAGCACAGCUGUACUGGGACAGACCAGAGGUCUGCCUGGGCCAGCCUCUUGUUUCGGAUGGAGGCCAACCAUUUAUAUGUAUAUAUAAACAUACACAUUUAAGACAAUAAGGUAAGUAUGAACUGAUUUUCCUCUCCUGACUUUUCUGAGCCACAUCAUUGUCUUAAAAUACGCUCCGUUCUUACAGUCUUCUAGCUCUUGUGUUUCCUUUGUAUCUUCUGAACAGAAGGAAAAGGAAAUGUUCUAAUCUCCUCCAAAUCCAACCAAAUACUUGUAAAAUUAAGAGAGGAUGUACAACCAGAAUGAAUGUUUUAGACAUAGAGGAAUAGUUUGAGCAGUUUGUGUUGUUGCUCUUCAGUAAUUCCUGUUCAGCAGCUGGGGGAAUGACUAGCACUGGUAGUCACACACGUGCAACAGAGACAUCACCAACCAGCAAGAGUAGCUUCAGGAAAAUAAUUUGAGCAUGAAGGGAUAGAUGUUUGCUACUGAGAAGUGUCUCCAGUACACCAUAUGUGUAAGCUUGUACCUGGAACUGGAAAAAUAACUGUGUGUCUGUGUCUCUCUGUCACAGGAAGCUGUCUCUGCACAGUUUGGCCAGGCCCCGUGCCCCGCUCACCUAUGCAUCCAGUUUACCUAGAACGGUGCUGUAAGUGCCCCUCGUUGCUGUCACAGUGCAGACAUUUGCUGUGUUCUGUACAAUUGGUCAUGUUGCAAAAUACAUUAGUACCUGAGGGUAAGUGAAUCCCCCAAACCUCCCUUUCAGCCAGGUUCUGUUUGAAACUCAUGCUUUUAGCACUUCAUAAAAAUACCUGGCUACACCUUUCUCUUGGCUCCCCUCCCUUCUCCAGGGUAGAUCACAAUACUUCAACAGAGCUGAAAUAGCUGUUGUUGGGCAUAACAUUGUGUCUAACGCUGUUUGCUAAUGUGCUUGGAUGUGACCUCUUCUAGUCAGGAUAAGGCCACAGUGAGAAUGAAGUUUAAUAUCGAAGUAGAAUUGUACAAAUUUAGAGAAGACACCACUCUAGGUCAUUUUGUCCUAUGCUUUCAUCCAGGCAGGACUGAAUGUAACUGAUUUCUAUUCUUGAAAGGCUGCUUGACAUUUCUGUCUUCUGCAGCGGUUAGACUCCGGUUUGUACUUGCAUGCUGAUGCAACAGCUUUUGCUCAGUUUGAAAGCAACGGAAAGAAUAGCGAGGAGUCCUUGAUAGGCAUCUAAGCAAUAACUUCCUCUUGCAAGCAAACCUUGCUGGCAUAGGUCAGUACAUCAGCGCUCUGAACUGAGUCUUGUAAAUGAGUGGCAUUUAAAAUUCAUACAGCUUUUAAUAUGCCCUGGGCCAGCCGGGUUUCAAUUACACCAAUGCCUGUGCCUUCUCUUUGAUGUGCAGUGGUUAACCCUUUUGAUGCGCUCUCACCUGUGCCAGUGAUGGUGUGUGCCUGCCAGGAACAGAUCAGCGUACACUGACAAGCUUCCCAAGGCAGGGAGCUGGCCUUGCACUCAGCUGUUUCCUUUUUGUUACUGUUUUAAAUGUCAUUAGUGAGGGGUGGAAGUAUUCUUUUUCUGAGGGGGGUUGGUGGGAUUUGUCACAGUCUAGGGCAUGGCAAGGUGUUUUUUCCUCUAUUCUUCUGCCAUAUGUGAGUGGUACUUGAGCAUUUCCCCUUGCCCCUGAGAACCAUCCAGCUGCAGGGAGCUACCAGCUUCUCACUGGGCACUGGCAGCAGCUGUUGGGCUGUGGGCAUAUUUAUCUUCAUCGGAUGCCCCUGUCACCCUGCCUGUCUUGUGGCUUGCACUACAUUCUAUUUUUCCUUAUUAAAAAGAGCUGUUCCAUAUUCUUCUAGGAUCUGGUGUUGCCACUGUUGUUUGACAGCGUAAAUAGUUAGAAGGGUUUGCAGAAAAGGCUGUCAGAUGGGUUAAGCUAAUGAUCCCUUAGUUAUGAUCCCUAGCAAUCUUGACUUUAUUUGGCAGGAAAAGUAAUUUAAGGAGUGAACUGCUUAUUAAAAUGACCUCUACUGCAUGUGUCUGUGCUCAGUAAUUGAUACAGAUUAGCCAAGCCAGGAGUUAGUGUAGCUUUUGAUAAUGGAUUAAUCUUGGAAAGCUGAAAGCUUUUUUUUUUUUUUUUUUUUUUCUUCUUCUGAGCAGCUCAGAACAAGAGUCUAUGGUUGUUGCAGGCUUCUGUGUCUGUCCUGUGCAACAUCCCCUUACUCCAGCUUCUUAAAGGAUGAGUGCAUUCAAAAUCUCUGAAAAAGACAUUGCACUAUGCAAUGAUACAUUUCAGCAGAAAAUGCCUUCAGAGCAGGGACAUGAAAACAACAGUUAUAAGCACAAAGCAGCUGUGAGAUUUAGAACUAACGGGUGGUUAAUUGUAUUUUAUUCUAUAUUGCACAUGGAAGAAUGCCAGGGCAAGCAUGCACACAUUGUCCAAGGAGCUCGCAGCAGCAGUUGUGUACAUUAAGGGAAUAGCCUUAAGUUAUUUCACUAAUUCAGUUUCAGUGUUGAUGUUCUCUGGGAAUGCAUGCAUGUACCAGCAGAGGGCAUGCAGACUUCAUUCAACAGGGACAUGUGCUAAUUAAUAAAUCUCAGAUGUAGGUAGGAGUCUACCUGCAUCCACAUUUGCAGACAAAGCGCUCAUUCAGCCAUGCAGGAGCUGCCCACUCCAGCAGACUUGUAUUAUCCGAAGCAGGCAGGAAGCGAGGGGGUAUGAAGCACAUGUUUGGAAUUACAUAAUCCGUCAUCAAACUGUGAUCAUGUUUCAUGUUCAUGCUUAGUCAGACUGUGGCAGUGAUUAGGGUUGACUAAACAGUUACCGUACCUCAUUUUUUCCAUCGUGCAGCAUCUGCUAGCUCUGUUGAUCAUUAAAGUCUCAAUCUAGGCAAGUGACUUGUAUUGUGGAUCAGACCCACAAUGAACCGGAGGAAAUCAGGGGGAGAGAGUCAGCAGUUUUUAUAAUAUAUUAACAGAGGGCUAUUGGGAAAUGUGAACUUAAGGAAGGCUAUCUGCAUUUUAGAAACAAAAUCAAAGAUAAACAGUACAGCAGAAUCUUCUGUUUUAUCCUGCCCGAUGCACUUGCAGUACAUUCAUAAUCUUCAUAAAGGAGAAAAUGAAUUGGUGAAAUAGGCUGUUUUAUGAUAAUAUCCCAUAUGUUAUCAGAUUCAUGCAGGCAGAAUCACGCUAAUGAAGAGAAAUUGCAGUUUAUGUAGGGCUUGCAGGCCUCGCUCAGGCAGAUUAACAGUGGCUAGGGUAAGAGGCAGCACAUUGCCUUGGCAGGCUGCCCGAGAGCUAAUCAAUGCAGAUGGAGUCAAAGGGACUGCCAGUCUGAUUCCCAACAGUUUCAUCUCGGAACAGGAAUGACUGCAUCCAUCAGUGCUCCUUGAUAAGACAUCCUUUAAGCUCGUGGUAAGAAUGAACCCAUUCGGGGAGGCAGAGGCUGAGCAGUACUAAAAGCGAUGACUCCACAUGCGGUGCAGGGUAGAGGUGGGUGUUUAAUUUUAGCUGCUGACCUGAUUUCGUGCUGAAUGACAAGUAUCUAUAGGAAUCCUCAAGGGCCAAUCAGUUGCUAUGUUAGUGAAGCUUUUGGAGAAAUGCAUUUAAUUUUAUACAAGUGGUGUCUUUAAGGAAGCAAUUAUGAUUUCUGAAUGCUUCAGGUUGAUUUCGGCUAGAGCUAAGCUGAAAUUCUUCCAUGUUCCAUGUUGAUGAAGCUGGAGUCUAACUGUUGUGUACUUAAUAUGGCACAUGCUAAUGUUUUGAAAUGCCCUCUUUUUCCCAUGUGGCAUUCGAUUUUUUCACCAGCUGAGAAGUAAAUGCAGUGCAGAACCAAAAUGAUCGAAGUCCUUUUGUCAUUUGCAUGCACAUCCUGAAAUGAAGUUCAGAAAAUGAAGCAACUGCAGAACCUCAUCACUGAGGGAAGUCCUUUGCAGAGGGUUCUCCUUUGUGGCUUUGUACUUGAGGAAAGUGUACUUGUGGUGACCCAAGAGAGGGCUUUUGUUUUUCAAGAGGAAGGCUAGGCAAGGUCUCUCAGUCCACAGAUUGAGUUCAAGAAAAAAAGUGAGAGUUGAGCCCACACAUGGGGCAGAUGCUUCACUUUUCACUGGUGAUGAAUCCUGGCCACUAUGAACAUUAGUCAUGGGAUUAUUUCCCUUGGCGUUGUGUGCUUCUAAUCAAAAAGGAAGUCUGCUUUCAGCCAGGAGUUAAGCAUCAAAUUGUCCGCUGUUAUUCAAUGUUUAAGUAUGAAGCAGUGGGGCUUUUACUGCUGCUAAUUUUGUGGCAGCAUACUCAGUUGUUCUGUCCAUACCCAUUCCUGCCACUGUUGUUGGCUUAUAGAGCUAGGGUUUGGAUCCAGGUUUGGUUCAUGCCCAUCUUUGCAUAGUCGUAUUGAUUGAUCUAAAAAUGUGUUUCAAGAUCAUUUUGCAUUAGCCCCCCUAUUUUUGACUUCAGUGAAGAAUGGCUGGGCCCAAACGCCAGGCGUUGUGGAUGGCAUUUGUUCUUCUUGUGGCUAGCUGCUGACUGGAACCUCAUCUGCACGUUUGUAUUGGCUUUUUAUUUGCAGUUGUCUCUGAAUCUGUGCGGUGAUUACUUUGUUGACAAAUGGUUUUUCCCUUGAAUAAGAUACAGUGACAAGAUGUUCUGAAUGUCCCAGGAGGGCUCUGGCAUUUGUCCUCAGGACAAUGGAAAACACCCUGGCAUUCUCUGCCUUCUGUGAAUCUGCCUUUCAUUUGUGUGUUGUAUGGAUUCUUCUAAGGAUAUGGAAAGAAAAAUGCUAAAAUGUGGUCAUUCCAGGAAAAGUGAUGGCUCAGAAAAGCCUUUUACUCGGCAUACCUGCAGUACCUGCAGUUUUAGGGUAUUGCAACUCACCCUUACUUGCUUCAGUAAUUUUUUUAUUAUUAUUAUUUUUUUUACCACAGUUUGAAGAUGACACAGCAAAAAGAGAAGGAUAGAUUUGAUUCCACUUGCUUUGUUUUGACUGAGUUCCCAUCCCUUGCACCCAUGCAAAUGGCUUGAGGCUCUGAGGUUGCACAAACAAUGCAGACAGUACAAUAGAAUGACAAUGGGGUUUUCACACGGGUAUAGUGGGAGCUGUGGGAUGUUUCCUCAAUUGGUGAUGUGCGGGGAGAAAAGUGCUUAAUGUGUCUUCUGUUUGAGCUUGAGUCUGCAGGGCUGGCACCUAAAGGAGAGGAAUAUCCCUGUCCCUAUUGUUGGUGUGCUAACUAGUCUGGAAAUGGAAUCAUGAUUGAAAUGCAGAGAAAUGCGGCAUCAUGGGAUGCUAGGAUUGGUCCAUCUUCAGAAGGGGAAAGAAGCUCAAGAUUUUUGUACUUUAUAUAAUCUCUUAAUCACAGCUCUCAUGAAACAAAAGCCUUCCAAAAGCAUCCUUUCUUUAACAGUUAAAGUCCUCCCCCCCAAAAAACAAAACAAAACAAAAAAACACACACAAAAAAAUAGAAAAAGCCUCAUCUAAGUAAUGGACUUGCUGAACCCACCCUGCUGCUGCAGCUGGCUACUAAGGACAAACCCACCCUUUUCCCCAGUGACAGUGAUGUGCAGAAAUCCACCCUCUACCUUUUUUUUUUUUCCCCUGCAUCAAAUUCUUCAUUUUUGCAGCAUGUGAGUCAACUUGUAAAAAUGACUCACAAGCUCAUUCCAGCCUUCUGAAUUGGGAGCCCAAUUAAAAUACUACUUGUAAUGCACAUAUUGAAGAGAGCGAAAAGUGUCUGCUCCUGUGUGUCAGGCAUUAGCAUAGCAUAUCUGAAGAUCUGUCUUGAGCUAGUCUGGUACUUGCCAGCAGGAAACCUUGUGUUUAAUUAAUGUAUAAGUAACAGGAAAAAAAAGUAUUUUGAAAAUCUACUUCGUAAAAAAUAUAAUGGAACUAUAAAUUUGAUUAAUUAUAAAUACAUCAAAGUUUAUUUUAAUUUGUUUAUUUAUUUAUUUAAAAUGACAUAGUUGGAUAGAAUGUUUUAUUUAUAAAGCAGUGAAGAGGUUGUUUUUCUGCAGGGGUGCAGUGCCUGGCAAUCAGCUUCUGCUGCUGCUGGUCUGAUUGUUGAAUAGCCGAUGUCUUCAGUUUAACUUGGUGCCCUGUUGGGCAGGUGCUCCCUGUAAAACUGCAGGGCUGAUUCUUAACAAUACCAGUCUUUAGCCUUCAAUAAGCCUUUACAUCAGGGCUGGCCAAUCUUUCUGAUGUUAUCACCCAUGUACCAAGAUCCUCUCUGGAAGGUCAUGUCAUGGGAGAAAUGGCAACAGCUGUACUGCAGCACCAGGACGGAGUUUGGGUGCACCGCAGGUCCCCGAGUGACUCAGUAGUGUCAGCCUCAGCUUUCCUGAUGCAUUUCUUUUCACAGGUGAGGCUCAGACAGUUGUGCUGCAGGUCAUGUUAACGUAGUCCCAGCAUCAGACUUGUAUUUUGACUGGUGGUAAGUCCUAUGUAGUCCAAAAUUGCUACUCAUCUCCACCAGUGUUUCAUCAGCAAUCAGUUUUUUUGCCAGCAGGCAAAAGACUCCAGAGAGAGCAUGCAGGGUGAAAAACAUUUCAUCCAUGCUUGACAGACAUGCUUGUCUGUGGUAUUCACAUGUAGCCCUUUAACUAAGAUUACUUCCUGGCAUAUAUAUCACAGCCCUUUUAGCUCCAAGUUAUUUCUAUGGCAUCACAGUGAACCUUGGGCAAGGAGGUGAGAUCUGCAGCACAAGGCAAGGCGUCUGUCUAGAUGAAACACUCAAGGAAAAGGUGUUUGUGUGUGAUUGCUGCCUGGUGUUAGCUCCUCUGUCCAGCCAUGGCCCUCUAUUUCAGAGGCUUUGCGUGGCUGAUGCAGAAGAGAGGCUGUACCUAGGCACUUACCCAAAUUCUCCUUCCUGCUUCCAUACCACCAAUUUAUUCCACAAAUUUAUGCCCAGUUUAACAAAUGGUGAGUAUAAAUUGCAAGGCCUGAAACCUGGUAGUACCAUGAUACCAGCUUCCUCUUGUUGAGCAACAAAACCAGCCUCAUGUUAAAGCGAUUCACUGGCAAAAGCGACACCUUUAAAUUAAAAAUAUAUAAAAUAAACAGCUAUUAUUGCUUCAGUUCCUAUUGAAAGGGAGAAAAUAAAAGCUGGUCACAUGUUGUGGAACUACAUGCACAGAAAUACAUUUGUCUUCAAAUGCAAGUCUAAUAAAUGUAGGAAUGAAGCCUGGUCUUUGUCCUAGCAAAGCUCAUACAAACCAAAUGUGCACAUGUUGUGCACACCGCUUAUCAGUAUGUAAAUAACAUAUAUGAAUAAUUGCCAGUAGGUGGUAGUGUGUGUUUUUCAGAUAACUUUGUAAGCUAGAACUGCAAGUGUUUCAUGUUUGAGGUGAUUUAGAAAUAUCCUGUCAUCUUUAAUGUAUGAUCUUAAAACAUCGUUGCUUUGAAUUCAGUCCCUGAUCUCACUGAUUUAAUAGUUCUGUUUCACAAACACCAGUGCAUCUCAGAGAGGUGUAUUUUGAUUUUUUUUUCAAGUUUAUGGGCAGACCUGACUGGAAACAUUUUGAAAAGUGCCAAUUAGCAUAAGCCCUGAGAAUUCAAAUAUGUGCAUUUGUUGGAAUGACUGCAUUGCUCCCUAGUGUUUCAUUUUAGGAGGUGAGCUUUUGAUAAAUAAAUACAUUAUUUUAAUGAUUUAGGAGUUUAGAAUUUCUCUUCACAGAAGCUGUUCUGAUAAUUCCUGAAAGAGCUCACUGGAAGAGGAGCAGCGCAGUUUUACUGGGCAUCUACUUCUUUGCAGUGCCUCAUUGUGCUUUGCAAAGACAGCAAAAAAGCGAGCAGCUGGGAAAGACCGGGGGGUUUGGUGGCUCCUUGCUGACAGUAAUCUGUACCAAAUUAAUGGUAUUUCCCCAGCUCAUCACACGGGAAGAGAUGCCCAUCCUCCUGUGAGAGCAGUUACUGAGGCUCCUACAAGCAUGUCCCAGGCUGGGCAUUCAUCCUUCCUCAGGUAACGACCAAAGCAUUCCUCAGCCAGCUGGCCUCUUGCUGCCUUUGCUGUGUUUUUGGGAAGGGACUGGGUUUUUGUUUGGCGGAAGAAGGGGAUGCCAGUGGUAAGGACUCUUUCUGUGGUGUUGCCUGCCAGGAAGCGAGGCAGAGGUCGGGAAAGGCGCUAUAAAUAUUUCUGCAGUAACUCAAAGGCGGUUAGCGUUUUGGUUCAUUUGUUUUUCCUGGGGUGUGUGAGACUGCUCUCCUCUGUGCAGGUGUCUCAUUCACGUGGGGUUUCCUUUUUCUUUCUUUUCCUACUUAUUUCCUGCCUCUGCAAUUGUUGCUUGCACUUUGCAGCACUUUUACUCAGCCCGUCACUCCCACUGAAUGCUAUCAGGCUAUUUGUGCAAAUGUUUUUCGUCAUGAAUAUGGUCUGCAGAGUCAGACCUUUUGCUUCUUCCUUCUGCUGGUAACCUGUCCCUCCCAAGUUUCCUUUCUCAUUGUUUUUCCUUUCACUUAUGUCUGCCUGCUGUUGGAGUGAGCUUGCAGAGAAGGAAGUGGGGGAGGGCUGCUUCUGCCUUUCGGUGUGAAUAGCUGCGCAAUUUAUAAUUUCUCGAGCAGAUUAAGCUCUUGUUUGCAUACACUCAGGCUGAGGGAGAACCACCCAUUGCCAGGUGAAGUUAAUGUGCUUGUGGAACCAGUGCUCACAAGUGACAGUGGCAGGAAUAGCAGUGAAAGUAAGGGAGGAGUACUGGGGCCUACCCAAAGACAGAAUUAGCGUCGCCCAGAAGGGCUGUGCUUUCUGUCAGAAAGCAAUACUUGUGGCUCCUAUUAAAGAAAUAAAAUGUGAUAUAAAUAGGUUUUGGGGGUAAUCCUGUGAGCUUGCGGCCUGCGUCCCCUCAUGCAGCCUCAUCUAACCACUCUGGGACAGAGGUGAGGCAUAGUUAACCUUCCCUGUUUGCCUUCCUGUACUAUCUAUCUAUUGUUCUUAACCUCUUCUCAUGGGACCUAAAUUGACUGUGCUGUGGAUGGAAUCUGAUUUUGCUAAGAAAUUACUCUUAUUGACUGGAAACGGUAUCAAGUUAGACAUCCAAAGCUGGAGUCCAUUCAGAGAAUGCUGACUGUAGUAUUUCUGUUCAGCUUUCUGUGUUUCAAAUGGUAACUGUUAGAGGUAAACUCCAAUAAGAGAGAUCAGUGCUACGCUGAUGUGUGUCCUCACCAAUAUAUAAAUGUGCCUGUCAGUAUACUGAUAACAGAAAAUAGAUUAGUGAGAGUGGGUUUCAUGCUAGGAGACUGAGUUUCUUGAGAAAUGUAGACUACCAAAGGGAAGAUUCUCAGGGAUGGAAGCUGGCGGUAGCAUGUGGAAGGAAAAAAACCAUGAAUUCAGUAGCAGAGAAGGGUUAUAGAAAUGAGAACAGAGAUAUUAACUAAGCAAAUGAAAUCAGUGAUGCUGGAGGCUUUUGUGUUUUGUCUGUACAGAAACAAAUAGUUCAUCCUGGACCAACUGUACCUCUGCUGGGUGGUGUUCUUAGUGCACUGGUAACAUCGUGCUGGGUUGUGCUAGGUCUCAACACUCCUCUGAGCUGUCAAUUCAGAAUUGAGGAGAAGAGUGGGAGGUAGCUUUAUCUAAGUGCACACAAUAUAUAAUCUGUGAAUGAAUACAAAGUGUGAGCUAGAUAGGACGUUAUUCCUGUAACAGGACCAACUCAUCAUCAUUACAGAACUCUUAAAAAAAAAAAAAAAAAAAAAAGAUUCCUUCUCCAAAUAGAUAUAAAAUGGGGUUGUGCUCAUAAAUGUGCUUCAUUUCAUGCACACUGCCUUUGCUCCCUAUAAUUUUCCUUGAAUAUGGCUGAACUGUCUUUGUCCUUGUCUACAUAAUCUCAGAGUGGGGGUAACAUUAAUGCUUUUCAUCAGAACCCCAAAGUGCUCUUCUGGAUUCUGUUCACGCUCUUGAGAUCAAUCUCAUCAGCUUUCACCAAACACCUUUGCUUCCUGUUGGAGACAGUGCAAGUUAAAAGUACAACUGAGGGCUUGGGUUUGUUAUCCAAAGUAUAAUUUUGAUUGAGAUUUACUAAAAGGCAGUAAAAGUGGAAGCAUAAUAUGCCUUUUUCAGAGUCCCUUCUCAGUGAUUGUCAUUUGAGGAAUGAGGAUGUUGAAUUUGCCACGUUGCACAAAGUUAUGGCAGCUGUUCCAUAUCGCUAGAUUGGAAAUUAAAAUGGAGAUCUAUUCAAAUUGUCUGACACUUCCAGCAAGCUUGAAAGCAAUGCUUUAAAAUAUAACAGAACUCUAAUUUGGGUCCUAAAAGAUACUCAGUAACACUGAAAGCAAACUUCUUACUUUUUCCAAAUGGUCUUGGACUGCUUUUUUGUGUCUUUUCCUCUGCCUUGCUAAAGCCUGCUUUCCACAACAGCCAUGUGAUCCAGCUGAAGUCAACAGGAUUCCUGAGGAUGUUAAAGACCAAAACCUAGACUAGAAUAGUUCAGUAGGUCUAGUCUGUUAUGACAAUAAAUAUUUUCAGGAAUGCUUAAGCUAUGCUAACCUUUAAAAAAAGAAUGUUUCACAUUUCUUUUUCUUUCUUCAUAAAUGUGUGGUGCCUGAAUCUUCUUAAUAGUUUCUUCAUCUAAAGAUAAGACUGGAUUUAUCUGUAUCUAUAGACAGUAAUGCAAUCUCUUAGUUUAGGAAUUUGUAGAGGUCAGACUUUGCCUGUCAACACACAGUCAAACCUAACUUUUGAUCCUAGUUCGGCUGCUUUAGUAACACUAAGUUUAUGAAGGCUAGAAAAACCCAUCUAGGAAAUGAAAUUCUUUGAAACAAGCACAAUGCCAGACCUGUGCUUUGGAACUCAAAGCAGAGUUUAGCCAGCCUGAGCUGUUGUCACCAGAAAAUAUUAUUUAAAUCUAUGGAUGUUUUUAUCUAGUAAUUCUUAUUCCAAAGAAAGAAUGCACUGUUGACAACUCUUAGCAUUUGCUUUGUUGUCCUGUAUAUGCCAGUUCAUCACUCAUACUGAGCAUUAAUCACUGUGGUAAAUGUACCAUUGUGAUCUGUUCAGGAAAUACUUGUCAAGGCUUUAUAAAAGCACUCCAUAAAAAAUCAGACAAAAGUAGUCUAUUUUUUUUCCUUGUGGGUGAAAUUCACCUGCCCAGAGCUCAAAUAAAUACAUGACAGACUCCUGCUAGCACAACUCCCGUCCCACUGCUAUCUGUUCAGUUUUGCUUCCCACACAUCCUGUAAUGACAAAGAUAAUCUCUUCUAAAAUGCCAUUUGCUUUUCAGGGUGGCACUGGAAACUAUUAAGGACUCAAUGGGCACUGGAAAGAGCAAUGUGUUAUUGAUUAAUCUGCCCUCUGAAUGAACUCUGGUGGAGAGCAGUAUUUCCAAAAUUCUAGAUGAAAGAAUUUGUGUACAAAUAAUGGCAGGAUGAGUGCUCUCUGGGAUGAUAUGACUACAUAAAUAAGCAGUUCUUCAGUGCAGCAUGUGGUUUUCUAAUUUCCAGUAAAAUGGAAUGAAUCACACAUGACAACACCAUUGCCACUAACCAGUGUGGCAUGGCAUCUGAGAAAGAUAGCACUGGAAGGGUGUGAACUGGAGAGCAGAUGAUGGGGCUUGAAACAUCUUGUUUGCUUUGGCAGCAUAACCAAAAUCUUGAUGCUUUCCCACAAUCUGCUCCAAGGAUGUAGGUUUUGCUGUGCUGUAUCAGAUUAUUACUCUGGGAAUUUGUGUGUCCUGCCUUUGCCAAUGGACAGCUCUUGAUGCUUCAGAUAAAGAUAAAUGCCCAGACUACCCACAGGGGAAUUCCAAAGUUAGAUGAUGUUUCUUCAUGUAGGGUUUACAUUACUGCAGAAUUACCAGGGGAGGUUUUCUCUCUCUCCCCCUACCAAAUCAUAAAGGAUACAUCUUCUCUGUCAGGCAAACAAAGGUCCAAGACUGCUGUCAAGUCCAGGCUCACAUACCAUGCAUAUUAACCAUAUGUAAGUACAUGCUGUGGUAUGGGCCUUAGGCCGAGUUCACUCCUGAGGGGGAAGUCUUAGCCAUAGCUAUGUUGUAGCCCGGUCCCAAGCUUUUCCACCUUAAAGGUGGGGCCUGGGUGCCCCAAAGGUGGGGAGUAGGGUACACAGCAGCCCCCAGGGAACAGCUCUAGCUGCCUCCCCUUUCCCUGAGCACCACCUGAGUGAAGAGAGCCCCAGGCAGGCCGAGAACCAGCGCUGGGGCCUGUGGCCAUGGGCUUCGCUGGCUGGAGCACUCUCUUUGGGAGCACUCUCUUUGUUUUGUAGAGGUGGCAGCAGUUCUCAGGAGAUCUGCUAAAGGCGAACAGACAGCAGUCCCUUUGACAUCCCUGCAGUGCCAGUGCAGCUUCACAGGAGCAGAACUCCCUGUCCACCGCUGCUGCUGAGCCCUAGAUGUGAGAAGAGAUGAUACUGAGUUUCAAAAGAUGGGGGGCCAAGUUAGAGGGAUUAAAAACAGCCCCCUCCUCUUUAUUUCUGCUCUUGUGCUUCCUGAGCCAUGUAUCAAAUCUUCUGAUGCCAGAACACAGGAAAAACUGAAAGUUGUCCUGCAGCCUACCCCCAGCAAAACUGGAUGCAUCUGUUCAAAAGCGCUGAAAAUGACCCAGCACGCACUCUUAGACCCUGCAGUGGGGCGUUAAGGUUGUUGACUUGGUGGUUAUGAAUGACUUGGGCUUUGUUGGAUCUAUUACAUGAGAAUGACACCAGGCAUUUUUUCUUUUGAGGGUUUCUCAGAAUGAAUACUUGUUAAAGCCGGGGUGGGAGAAGGACACGAGUAAUUCUUUUUCUCCUUCUGACACAUUCCCAAACACAGCACUUGUGAGUGCUAUAUUUAGGCAGAGUUAAUGAUGAUCUAAAUGUCCAGCAGACAUGUAUUUGCAUUUGUUUAUGUUGUUCCCCCCCCAUCAACAUGGUCCAUACUAAGGGCUCAGUAAAAGCAGUAGCCUAAGCUGCAGUUUAAAAUGUCCUGUAGAUGGAGAUUUGCUGUGACAGAAAUGCCUGUCGUCCUGGCAGUUCCUCACAGCUGCUGGAGGCAGAAGAGUAUGUGAAACAAUAACUCUGCCAGCAGAUGUGGUUCUGUAGGGACAGUAGUGUCUGUGGUACGAAAAUUCCCUCCCAAAAUACAGAUCUGUAGGGACAGUAAGUGUCUGUGUCAGGGACAACUUUGCAGCAUCUGCUGGGACAGUGAAGUCUGUGAUACAUAAACACAUCUCUGCAUCUGCUGGGUCAGUCAGAGAGAGAUGUAUUGUAUAUGUCUGGUUUUAGAUGUGCAAAUCCCCUUCACUUUCCUUUAAUCUGGGGAAUUUGUUUGAUUCUUCUUCCCACAGAGCAAAUAAGAACCAUCUGAUGCAAAAGAGCUAGAGGUAUUUGUGAGUCUUUUCCAUGUAGGAGAGGCAUUGCCACAUUUCAGCUGCCAAGAAAUACUGCUACAUUCUCUCCUACCAUAGCAUUAAUCAUUAAUGGCUUUGUUCUCAAUGAACAGUCUGAGUAUCUUCAAUGAUACUCUUGUGAGUGCUAAUGCUUUGUGGCUGCAGUGAGACCAUCACAUGAGAAAUCUGUUUGUUUAGAGCAGCGAUGCGCCACAAACACAGCAUUCUGACUUAGGCCAUAUUUCAAACAUUUCUAAGUACAGGUAUAUGAAGAUUUAAAAAAUUAUUUUGGGCUCAUCUCUAGUUUAGGCACCAGACGUGGGUUAGGAAGGAUUGCACUGGAGACAGUCAAUUUUCCAGCAGAAGCAACUCCAUUCAGAUGUCAGGGUAUCUUGCUGCAACAAAGGCUGAUGUUGACAUUUUUCUUGGAUGGAGACAGAUGCAAGAGCUUCUGCCUCAAGGUUAUCCAUUAUACAGUAUAUUAACUAGAUGUUUUAACAUUGUGCUUCCUGCGGAGACAGAAAUGAAUGAUGAUUAAUACUUAUCAAUUAAAAUCUAAUCUUUUCCCUUGUGUAUUUAUAUGCUGAACUUCAACCUACAAGGCAAUUCUGUGACAAGAAUUAGAUAUUCUUUUAUUGGAGAGCACUGGAGUUAUGGUCAGGGAUACAAUAUUCAUUCAUUUAUUAUGAAUACUGCAUUUGUGCCUAGAGUUUGCCUAGGCAUUUUAUAUAAAUAGUCUCUUACAAAGGAGUUCAUGAACAAUUAGCAUUAAAGGACAAUUGUUUUAUCUUUCUUAUAACAGCACUAAGAUUGGAGAGGUAGAGGAAGCAAAGGUUAUACAUGUUUUAUGGCCAUAAUUAUAAUUAACUAUUUCAGAGAUUAAAGUAAAUUAAAAUGUAAUUAUAAUGUACUAUUUCAGAGACUAAAACUGAUGAAUAAAACUCAGUUCUGUGACCUAUCUCACAAAUCUAUAGCUUAUCCAGCUUAGUCUAAACAGGAAAUCUUUUUUUUUUUUUUUUUUUUUUUCCUUAUUAAAUCUAGCUGCUGUUUAAUAGACAGUGCCCACACGUGUGAUAGGUGCCUUAUAGACUUGAGACGCUGCGUCGCAGGCUGAAUGAACACUGGCCCAAGGGCCCUGGUAACAAAGAGCUCCAAUCCUGCAGCCGCGUGCGCAGGAGAGCUCCGCUGGGAGGCCUGCAUGCGGAGCAGCCAGGAAGGCUGGCCUCUAAAUAUGCGACGGGAGAGCAAAGGAAAGGCAGAACGGGUUUUCAGAUUUGAACUCUGGUCGGCUCGACUGUUGAACGCCAUUUAGCUCAGAUAUACAGUGCGAUAACCUUUGUUCUUAAGCGAGAGGCAGAAUGGAGCACUGAAUGAAAGAGGCCACUUAGACUCCAGGUGGAGGGUUUUAAAGUGAACAAGUGAUCCGGCUGGUUACUUCUGAUUUAUUAUAAAGGCAUCUUUAUGCAUUUUGAAUUGCCUACCAUCAGUCAUGUCAAAUAAAACUGCAUUCUUAUAAGGCAGUUCAUCCCCUACAAACAUGCACGCUCUAAUCACUGAUGUCAAACUAACAGCAAAUGUGUAUGAAGAAAAUAAAGCCUAUGGUGACUAUUGCAAAAAUCUUUUUCAUUUUAAUGUACUAGAAACAACCAUUCUAGUAAAGUCAUUAGUAAUUGACAUAAAUUUACAUUACAGCAUCAAUAUUUUUUGGAGCCUGAUUGUGACUGUUAAAGGUCUGAGAUUCAUUCUGCAUUGGGGUAAAAUUGCUUUUCACAAGGUGUCCCAGAAGAUCUUUGUUUUAAAAAAUAUAUGUAUUUUGCAAAUGAAUUUUUUAACAGGGAGAGGUGUAGAAUUACAGGUAUUAAAGUACACGUGAGGAAGAUCAUCAGCAUCACCUCCCUGUUUGUAUUUCUUGACGUGACAGUCCAUAUCACAAGGGAAAAAGGCACUUCUACAUCUUCCUUACCCCUGAGCCUGCUUCCAUCUCAGAGAGGCAUCACAAAGUCUCUCACUAAUCUAUCUCCAUUUUAUUUCUUGUAGUCUAUUAACACACCUAUGCUGUUUUGAGAGACCUCUCCCCACCCUUCAUCAAAAACCACCCAAAAUGCUUGGAAUGAGUGGCAUGAAAAUAAUAAACAUUUUCAGCUGCCUUUCAGAUUCUGGAUGAAUUGUUUGUAAACAUCUUGUCUCAAACCAUCAAGAGGCGGAGCUAGCAUCACUGAAAGAUGAUAAAUUCCGACACGGCGCUCCGAGAUUUCACGGCCACUGAAUGUAGGUUAAUAUGGGAUUCAAUAGGAAAUCUGGCUUUUGUGUUGAUACAUAUUACGAAGGAACUUGUCAUUUGUCUGCAGAUUGCUAAUUGCUGCUUAUUGCACAAGCAAGAGGUUAAUUUGGGUAUGUUAUGACAGUAAUCAUGUGCACCAUCUUAAAAUAUAUAUACUCAUAAUCUGAUUGAUAAUGUGUCCUGUGGGAUUUGGGACAUUGUUUUGUAAGAUUAUGCAAAGAAGAACUUUACAGUAAAUGCUGUCACAGUAGGCAGUAGUGUCCUUGAGUGCAGGCACAUGGGAUAGAGUGGAGUCGCGAGUCUGGUAUGAAAUACCUUUUUCCUUGCCCCUUAAUUUAGUCAUUCCCAGAGAUGUGUGAUUUAUUCUUUGUGAUGAUACACUGAAAACAGAGGUCCCAUCUAUUCUAAAUGAAAACGAUAUCCUAUUCUUAUUAUUGUUAAUGCUUUGUAUUCAGAGUAGCAUUUAAAGGCCUCGGAUUAAUUCGUGACCUCUUCAUGCUCGGAGUUGUAUGUACACAUGCAGUAAGCUCACUGCCCCAAAGACCUUACACUUUAAUUAAAUAAAGGUUGGAGGAAGGAAGUUUUAUUACCUCUGCCACAAAUGGGAAAUGAUAAGAGAGAGAAACUAAAAGGACUGAGAAUUACACUCCUCCUGCAAUAAGUCCUGUAUUUGCCUGUAAUAUAUCCUCCCUUCCUGCUUUUGUUAAGCUGCUGUAAAUUGGUAGAUGGUUGGUCUCUUCCCCAGAGAUGGAGCUUACUAUAAUUCUGCAUAAUUUUCAAGGUUGUAUGGGAUGAAAGGAGUUACAGAUAGAUAACCCUUUAAUUUAUAUCUGAUCAAGUUAUUCUGAAGAAAUACUUCUGUGGAAUAAGUUCAUGCAUAUGAAUCUUGCAUGCAUUGCUUGCUGCCACGUGAGCAUGCUAUUGCAUAGAUUCUGUAUUCCCAGUGGUGUGUGCAGUUGGUGUGUACAUGUUUUAAGGUAUGCCGGUAUAACUUUUCAAUUGUUUUUGUUAUCUCCAGUAGUUUGCUCUUAAAAGUUUUCAAAAAUAUUAAAAAAAAAAAAAAAAAAAGUAAUAUUCCUCAAGAUACUGGACUAUUCCACAGGAUUCAUAGGAGACUUAAAACACCAGUGCACACUUAGUCUCGCAGAAAUGCAUCUCCUUCUCCCCUCCGGGAAUCUUAUUCUAUAGAAAGGGCUGAAAUUAAUUUUAAACAUUUUUAAUUAGAGCUUCCAGCUUAACAUCAAAAAAUAAAGCUAGAUCAGUACAGAUCUUGCUUUGAGAAUAAAAUUUUCCCUGUAGAGGAACAUAAGCCUGAAGAUAACUUGUUUUCCUUUUACUUAUAGACAGUACAUGGAUGUUCAGCAUAGUGAUCUUGGGCAGAAGCCCUGACAGUUUUAGAUAUGAUGGGAAGUGGGGGAGAAAAACAAAACAAAACAAAAACACAAGGAACAGGUAAAUUCCAAGCACACCCAACCACUAUCUUUGUAUCACACCCAACCAUUAUCUUUGUAUUUUAGUAUUUCUGCCAGUCACUGCUGUAUGUCAACAGCAGUAAUCCUCUAUAAUGACGUGUCUCUGCCUCAUGGGUACAGCCCCUCAUUUCUGUCUUGUCCUGCCCCUAUCUGGGAAAUGGGAACAGUUAUUUUCUUGCAGAUUUUGGAUUCCCUGAGUUAAAAGACUACAGAGAAGCAGACUUCUUUUUGAAAUGUAUUUAAUAAAGAGCAUUAUUUCUAUUGCUGUCAAA